AGGGGAGUGGCUCAACGGUAGAGUAGUGGUCUCCAAAACCAUAGGUUGCGUGUUCGAAUCGCGUCUCCCCUGCCA
rnacentral:tRNA from 1 species